rnacentral:rRNA from 1 species
UACGAAGGGGGCUAGCGUUGCUCGGAAUUACUGGGCGUAAAGCGCACGUAGGCGGCUUUCUAAGUCGGGGGUGAAAUCCUGGAGCUCAACUCCAGAACUGCCUUUGAUACUGAGAAGCUUGAGUUCGGGAGAGGUGAGUGGAACUGCGAGUGUAGAGGUGAAAUUCGUAGAUAUUCGCAAGAACACCAGUGGCGAAGGCGGCUCACUGGCCCGGUACUGACGCUGAGGUGCGAAAGCGUGGGGAGCAAACAGG